UACAGAGGUCUCGAGCGUUGUUCGGAUUCAUUGGGCGUAAAGGGCGCGUAGGCGGCCAUCGCAAGUCAAUUGUGAAAUCUCCGGGCUUAACUCGGAAAGGUCAACUGAUACUGCGAGGCUAGAGUGCGGAAGGGGCAACUGGAAUUCUCGGUGUAGCGGUGAAAUGCGUAGAUAUCGAGAGGAACACCUGCGGCGAAGGCGGGUUGCUGGGCCGACACUGACGCUGAGGCGCGAAAGCUAGGGGAGCGAACGGG
rnacentral:rRNA from 1 species